AUGAGAGCUGUCAUGGGACAGCCGGUACGAACGAAGUUCCUUACGCUAUAUUACUGCUCAUUGAAUAAAUUAAGAACGUUUAAUUGAAGAAUAAUUAAAUGAAAAAUCAAAUAUAUGAAGGAAUGGUAAUAAAAUCGUACGAAUGUGUUUUUGAAAGAUAUAAAAAGAAAGAGAGGCAAAGUAUAGACGUACGCUGUGAGAGAGCGCGCUGCGGCCCAAAGUAUAGUUGUACGCUGUAGGAGAGAGAAAGAGGGGCGAAGUAUAGUCGUGCGCUGUGAGUGAGAGAGACCGCUGCUGCCGUCUCCCACCCCAAGCGCUGAGACAGAGAGAGAGAGCGCGCGCACACGCUGGAAUAGAGAGAGAGAGAGAGAGGGAGAUCGCGCGCACUAUAGCAAACGAGCACUAUAGCCAAAAAGUGUCGGUUUUUUGGUGUCGUUUUUUUCCGCCUAGCCCCUACGGUGAACGAGCGAUAAGGAACUUCGUUCCAAAAAUAAUUCGUAGAUAAUGAGA
rnacentral:lncRNA from 1 species